UCGACGAUGAUCCCGCUUGCUGGGGGAUUAGUGGCGAACGGGUGAGUAACACGUGAGUAACCUGCCCUUAACUCUGGGAUAAGCCUGGGAAACUGGGUCUAAUACCGGAUAUGACUCCUCAUCGCAUGGUGGGGGGUGGAAAGCUUUAUUGUGGUUUUGGAUGGACUCGCGGCCUAUCAGCUUGUUGGUGAGGUAAUGGCUCACCAAGGCGACGACGGGUAGCCGGCCUGAGAGGGUGACCGGCCACACUGGGACUGAGACACGGCCCAGACUCCUACGGGAGGCAGCAGUGGGGAAUAUUGCACAAUGGGCGAAAGCCUGAUGCAGCGACGCCGCGUGAGGGAUGACGGCCUUCGGGUUGUAAACCUCUUUCAGUAGGGAAGAAGCGAAAGUGACGGUACCUGCAGAAGAAGCGCCGGCUAACUACGUGCCAGCAGCCGCGGUAAUACGUAGGGCGCAAGCGUUAUCCGGAAUUAUUGGGCGUAAAGAGCUCGUAGGCGGUUUGUCGCGUCUGCCGUGAAAGUCCGGGGCUCAACUCCGGAUCUGCGGUGGGUACGGGCAGACUAGAGUGAUGUAGGGGAGACUGGAAUUCCUGGUGUAGCGGUGAAAUGCGCAGAUAUCAGGAGGAACACCGAUGGCGAAGGCAGGUCUCUGGGCAUUAACUGACGCUGAGGAGCGAAAGCAUGGGGAGCGAACAGGAUUAGAUACCCUGGUAGUCCAUGCCGUAAACGUUGGGCACUAGGUGUGGGGGACAUUCCACGUUUUCCGCGCCGUAGCUAACGCAUUAAGUGCCCCGCCUGGGGAGUACGGCCGCAAGGCUAAAACUCAAAGGAAUUG
rnacentral:rRNA from 1 species